rnacentral:lncRNA from 1 species
AUGGGAGAGUGUCUGUGUGUAAUAACAAGCAGUAUUCUUAUAAGCCUGGCUCCUUGCUUAUACCAGGCUGGCAGAAAUGAAAGUUGUUGCUGGGUAGUUGUUGGGCAGAGCCUAACAAAUUUGUCAGUAAGCCAAUAUAUACAUUCUUAUUUAUCUAGACAAAUGCUCAAUUUCACAGCAUUGGAGAGUUUGUACCUUUGACAGUCGUAUGGCUAAGAUGAUCAAGCCUUGUAUUCUGACUACCCUUCCCCAGCUGUGUUUCCUGUAGUCAGUAUGCUUGGCAUCCCACCAAAAUUGUCUUUAUAUUGUGUUCUAAGCCAAUAGCUAUAUUGCCUACAAUUAAUGUAUUUGAUUCUUCUUUCUGGACACAUUCAGGACAGUAUAAACAGCUUAGGGAUCCCAAGAGUUAACUUACAGAUGGAUUUUCAGAAAGCACAGAAUAUAGACGUGCUAUUAACUAGUUCCCGUAGGAACUUGCUCCGGAUAUAAAUCUCAGAGACGAAUCAGCAUGUAUUCUUCUCACAGACAUUUCAUUGGCCAAUGUAAGAAAAUUGCAGAUUAAAUCAGCUUUUUCUUCCUGCCGAGUGUGAAUUAAAUCAAUGCUGAAGUGGGAGGUGUAGUUUAUCUGUGUGAUAGAGGUUACCAAAACCAGUGUUAGUUGGUUUGGGUCCUUAAAGAAGUGGGUGAUGUAAUUGUAACAUAGAAUGUUAACAACAGUCUUUCUUUUGGGAUCCAUCUCUUGGCAAGUAUUCCCCACUGUCCUUUAAUAGCUAAGUUGGAACUAUAUGGAAGUGCUAUAUUUAUACCCAUUUCUUUCUAUGUGCACAUCAUGACUGAUGCUCUCUCUCUCUCUCUCUCUCUCUCUCUCUCUCUCUCUCUCGGUGUAUCAAAUAUCAUGCUUUUAUAAUAUGGUAUUGUAAAGUGUUAAGAGAGUAUUUUCUUCAGGAAGAUAACAUAUGCUCAAAUCCCAGUUCUGUGUGUCCCUGGAGAGCAAUCUGACUUCUAACCACUCAUCACAGGAGAGCUCUUGGAGCUGGUCAGCUUGCUUAGGAGGGAAGACCAGGUUUUAAUCUCUGAAACAUAUACAGUUGGAAGGAGUGAACCAGUUUCUCCAAGCUGUCCUCUGACCUCCACAUAAAUGCUUUGGCAAGCUUGUAAGGGCCC